rnacentral:lncRNA from 1 species
UGGCAAGGUGUGGGAAAGAGUUAUGGAGGUGUGGAAUGGUGUCUAAAGGUGGAGGAUGGUGGUUGGAAUGGAUCAAAGGCUGCGGCAAGGUGUGGUUUUGGUGAUGGUGGCUGCGGCAAGGUGGGCAAAGGGGGAGAUGAUUUUCUGAUUUUCUGGAGAGGGAAGAGGAUCCUCGGCAAGGUGGUAAAACACAAAUAUAUAAGCACCUAAAACCCUAAUGAAAUCAGAUUAGACAACAAUGGGCUAGGGUUAGGUGCGGCACUUAAGUGAACAUGGGCUAGGGUUUGUAAAAUAGGCUUCUAGGAUGGAAAGGUGCGGCUUGGGUUUAGGAGGAAUGGACUAGGGUUUAACAUGGCAGAUUUUAGAUGAUUAGGCCCUAGGGUUCGGCAUGGGUUGAAGGUCCACAAGGAAUUUUGGGUUUAGGUCAUCUAAAAGCCCAACGCCAAGAAUAGAAACUCUCGAAAAUGGAAACCUCCAAGAAUAGAAACUUCCAACUUUUAGAAACUUUGGUUGCCAAUUCCGAUUUAGGAAAGAUCGACCCAAAAUGGAAACUUUUAGGCUUAGCUUUCCUACUUCAAGUAGGAAACCUCAAAUCUUCAACUCUUCAAUUCCAUCCCAACCUUGCGUUCCAAGCAUGUCCUUUUCAAUUCAAGCUCACUUUUUGCUCCAAAAGCUCCAAAUUGCAUCAUUUCAUGUAAUAGUCCGCUAAACCUGAAAACACGAGAAAGUAGCUUAAAAGACUACUUUAACAAAGAAAACAUAACAAAAAAUGCAUAAGAACUAGCUAACUAAGGCGCAUAAAUAUGCUCCUAUCACCUCACAUGGCUCUCUCUCUCUCUCUCUCUCUCUCCGACACACAUGCCUCAUUUCCCUCACUUUUCUUUUUUUUAACCGGUUUUUCUUCUCUCUCUCUCUCUCUCUGACACACAUGCCUCAUUUCCCUCACUUUUCUUUUUUUUUAACCGGUUUUUCUUCUCUUUCUCUCUCUCUCUCUCUCUCUCUCACUAAUUUUAUUAUUUUUUAACUCUCUCAUUCCAUCAUCUUCUUCAUAUUUGUAAACAGAGAGGUCGAAAGGACAAGGACCUUAAGCCUCCAUUUCUCCAGUGAUGUAUACAUUUUGUGUACAUUUAUAUCAUCUUUAUUUGGCAGUUUUGUGAUGUUUUUGAAUCAAGCUAGUUGUGUUUUUACAUUAUUUGGUGUUAGUGUGCAGUCAAGUAUGUUUUAGGAUCAAUUGGAUUGCAAAUGAAGUAAAAUCAUUCCUUUUGGUAGAUGAUCAUCAUCCCAAACGUGGAGAAGGUUCUUGAGGAGUUAUUUUGAGGAUUAUAGAACUACUUUGGCUGUUGAAAUUUCAAGAAAGCAUGUGGAGGGAAAGUGGUGCAUUCGGUUUCAAACAAAGCAAGAGCAUUGGAAUUAAAUUAGGGGUUACACACACCUUGUGCCGUGCAUUCCCUUGCAAUUCCAGCUCCUUUUGGCAGCAGCAACAUGCAAUCCCAUUAAACUAAGUCAUUCAGCCACAUGUUCACCUCAAAGCAAAGCCAUGCCGUGCCUUUCUUUCCCUUUCCAGCAUGUGGGAACAAUUCCAGCUUGUCCACUGCAACCUUGCAGCCAUUGCACAUGCUUCUUCAAUUAAAUAAGCACCAAGCAUGCUUGUGUUCUCUGGUGCCGUGCCUUGCCAUUCCAGAAAUCACCUCAUUCCAUCAUCAUUUCAGAUUUGGCAGCUCCAUUAUUCUACUAUCAUCCGCAUGUUCUCCCAAGAGACUUCAUUUUAAAAGUCCAUGCAAUCUCACUUCUUGGGGGCUCUCUCGGUCACACCAUUCACACACUUAGCAAUUCCACUUUCUGUCCAUCUUCUCUCCCAUUCGCACAAACCACCCAUCCACAAACUGCUCAUCUUUCAUGUUACAUCACAAUUGGAGAAUCAAGACCGAAGGCCAUUCUUGAAGGAUUUCAACACAUCAGUUUUGCUUCAAGGGUUUCUUCUUCUCAAUUCCAUGUUCAUUCAUGUUAUGUAUUUCUAUGUUAAAACGUUUGUAAACAUGAAAUGUAACUAAUCUCUUCUUAGGGAUUCGAUGUAGCCUAGCAAGAAACCCAUGUAGUUAAUUCAUAAUGCUCAUUUGAUCCUUCUAUUUCUUGUUUCAUUCUCUGAUUUUAUUGUGACUUUGUGUGUUGAUUUUAAUGCUUGAUCACCACUUGAAUUAACCACAGGUUGUGUAGCCAAAAUUAGAAGCACACAUCAUGCAUAAUUUUGGCAGAUUUGGGAGUGAUUGAAGGAGAUGUUUGGCAAACAUCCUGCCGUGUGUCCCCUUUGGUUUUGUGAAAGUUUCUUAUGUAUAAAACAUCCUUGGUUGAGAACCAAAGUUGCACAUCACAAUUUGGUUCUUGACUAGGAUGAUUUGAUCA